rnacentral:rRNA from 1 species
UACGUAGGCAGCGAGCGUUGUUCGGAAUUACUGGGCGUAAAGAGUGUGUAGGCGGUGCUCUAAGUUCGGUGUGAAAUCUCCCGGCUUAACUGGGAGGGUGCGCCGGAAACUGGAGUGCUCGAGCGUGGGAGAGGAAAGCGGAAUUCCUGGUGUAGCGGUGAAAUGCGUAGAUAUCAGGAGGAACACCUGCGGUGUAGACGGCUUUCUGGACCGUAACUGACGCUGAUGCACGAAAGCGUGGGUAGCAAACAGG